UCAUUUUGUGGAAUCUGUGGAAUCUAAUUUUGUUAUACUUUGUGCGCCACCCCAUACCAAUACACAGAAUGGCUCCAACACUUUGCUUACUAAAGACUUUUGUGGGUAAAACUACUGACUGACACCACGGCAAAGGGGGAUAUGCACAUUUGAGCGUAUAUAUACCACAAUCUCACUAUUAAUACAAUGGUAAGUGGUGAGCUGCAAUUUUAACUGGCGGCCCCACUGCUAUCGCGGGCCCCUGUACAGUACAAGUUCUUGUGCAGCUGUACUUUCUACACCUACGCCCCUGGAUGUGGUCUUCACAUGGGUUGAUUGCAUGUGGAUGGGCUGAUGGGAGUCAGGUGUUUGGGCGUGACCUCCACUCUGCAGUCACACACUAGACUCAGUGAGUUUCUGCUUUUCUCCUGUGUGCAGUAUGCGGGUGUGCUGAGGCUGCUGAAGGUAUACAAGAAAAUGUGGCACACGGCUGGGUCGGAGUUUGGAGAGUUGCACGGUGCAGGGCAACAGCCACUUAGUAGAGUUACCAGAGGCCCCAGGCAGUGGGGAGGCCACAACCGACCAGCCUGUGACCAACAGCAGCGGACCAAUCCUUGGCGUGUUGUUUGCUUCUCCACAUGCAGGGAACGGAAGUUGAGCACACCCAACCACAAAUAGCCUAAUUCCAUUCUGCUUAAUUGAUCCUGAGCUUCCCCCAUUGAACUGACUUUUAGCUUUCUUGUCUUUGGCCUUGUUUUUAACUUAUGUGUAUUUAAUUAAAUGUUUAAAUAAAAUAGGAGGUUUAUAUUUUGCACA